GCGAGGAAGAGUGGGGGGAGAGAAGGAGAUUAGAGGUCAGACUCACCUAUAGAGAAGUGUUUAGGGUCAGAGGUCAAACUCACUUAUAGAGAAUUCCUUGGGGUUCGAGGUCACGGUUUAGAGGUCAGACUCACCUAUAGAGAAGUCCUUAGGGUUCGAGGUCACGGUUUAGAGGUCAGACUCACCUAUAGAGAAGUCCUUAGGGUUCGAGGUCAGGGUUUAGAGGUCAGACUCACGUAUAGAGAAGUCCUUAGGGUUCGAGGUCACGGUUUAGAGGUCAGACUCACCUAUAGAGAAGUCCUUAGGGUUCGAGGUCAGGGUUUAGAGGUCAGACUCACCUAUAGAGAAGUCCUUAGGGUUCGAGGUCAGGGUUUAGAGGUCAGACUCACCUAUAGAGAAGUCCUUAGGGUUCGAGGUCAGGGUUUAGAGGUCAGACUCACCUAUAGAGAAGUCCUUAGGGUUAGAGGUCAGGGUGUAGAGGUCAGACUCACCUAU